UAACACAUUGACUAUGCUUUUGACCUCUUUGUUUCUUGACUCGUACAUGUUUUAGAUGAGUUUCAAUUACUCUAGUUUAGAGCAACCACCAAAUAUCUAGAGAGAUUUUCCUCUCCUGACUUUCCAUUUCAAUUGGUUUUUCCAUCCAUUACUACAAUGCUUUUUCCUUUGUAUACUCCCUGACUUCAUUAUCCAGCUCAACAUUUUGGUCAGAGGAAGCAAUAGCCUGUCCCCGUAUUGAAUUACUGUUGGGGCUUUCAUAUUAUGUUGAGCGUCUCAUAUUGCAUGGAGUUUUCUGCUCUUUUUGGAGUUUCUAAUUUGUUUGGUACUAUGCCCUCUUUUGUCCAGAGUACACUGGAGAAUUUGUAUCCAAAGAUGACUCAUUGAUUUUCUCCGUCCCACAAAGAUUCUGUUAUGUCCACAUAUCUAUGUCAGCAAGAGGCAAAUUAGCAGAAAAAACAAUGUGUUAAAUGAAUUGCUAACAAACUGAAACCUUUAAAUGAAUUAGAUGAACUUUAAAAGAAGGAAUUAAAUGGUGAAUAGGGAGUUCUUUUUCAAAAACCCUGUAUAUCCUGGAAGUUUCUUAGCAAGAUUUGUUGGGGGGGGGGGUCUUUGUCUUUGCCUUCCUUUGAGGCUAGGAGAGUAUGACAUGCCCAGGGUCACUCAAUGAAUUUCCCAAUGUCUGAAAGGGGAUUUGAGCUAUAGUUUCCAUAGUCUGGUGAUCACACCACUAUGCCAUACUGGUUCUCUUGGGAAUCAAGGAUUACCAUUUCAAUUUACGUUGAAAGCCAGCACUAAGAGCUUUGACAGGAUUUAUCUGAAAAAUGCUAUCUGAGAUCUUAUUCCCCAUCAUAUUUUCCCUUUAUGUGUCUUUUUUUUUUGGCCAUACUUCACAUUAAUUUCAAGUGUUUCUACAACUUCCUGAAGCCUUCUGGGUUUUUUAAAUAUAAAGCAAUAGCUAGUUUCAGUAUUGCGGCUGGUGAAUUUUGUUUUGAAAUAAGUGAUGGAGGAGACUACUGUUGACAAUUAUUAAGACUAUUUGCCUCAGAAGAAGCCCAUAAUACAAGGUAUUACUACUCUACUGUAAGUUGUUUGGACCUUAUGAUCUUCUAAACAUUUUAAUUCACUAGCUCAGAGGUACAGUACUAACAAAAAAAGAUUUCUCACAAAUCUAAAAUAAUUUAGACUUUGGGUAAAGUUUCAUCUGGGAAAUGGAUCUUUAGCACAGUCUCUGAUUUAAUUAAUAAUAACAUAAAUUCGGAGUUAUAUUAAUUAUAAAAUUCCAGUUAGUUUGUCCAUGCUCAUGAUUUCCACCAUUUUCAUCAACCAUUCCUUGGGUGUCGGGGUUUCCUCCACUCUCCAGUAUCGUACAUAUACAAUUCUAGCUGCUGUUGUCAGAUAAUUGAAGACGAUAGCUUUAUUUCUAUUCAAUUUUACAUCUAUGAUGCCCAACAAAAAGUGUUCUGGUUGGAGUUGAAUUUGGACAAACUAACACAAUAACUAUCAUAUCGACAAAACAAUCUCAGAAAAGAAAUGGGCUGGACUUUAUUGAUCAGAUACAUGAAACAAGAAAAGACGAAGAUUUUAUUAUAAACAUGAAUAUGAAAUAAAAUAAUUAUCCAUCCUUUGGACUAUACUAAACAAUAACAUCAAGGAAGACAGAAGAAUUGUAGACUCAAAUCCAUGAUGAUGAGGCUUGGAAGUCUACCGAACUUCACUACCUCUAUCAUUUUCUAUCUCUCCCCAUUUUUCACCUAUUUCCCAACCCCUACUCUACCAUAAUCCAACUCGUAGCCCUUUAUCCCCAUUUUCUUUUUUCCUUUUUCUUUUAUUUUAAUGAAAAUACUUUAAUAAAAAUAUUUAAAAAUAAAUUUCCAGUUUAUCUCAAAUUUAUUUUUUUAAAAAUCAGCUCCAUUGAGUUGCCACUUUUUGUUAGAAAUUUUCUAAUUUCAAUCAUAAUGUGCUUGAUUUUAAUGAAUUAGUUCCUAUCACUGAUUUAUGUCUAUAUUCUUUUCCCUUCUUUGCUGUCUCCCCUACGCUUAGCAUUUGGAAUGUAUUAUCUUGGGGCAAGGACUUUCCCCCCCAAAAUGUUACAAAUGAAGGGAUCUGUAAAUAUUACUGUAUAUGAGUCUCCACAACCAAUUGGACCCUGCAUUUUUAUUAUCCGUGGCUUGUUUGAAAAGGUAUGCUUUCAUACCUUAUAUUAGCUACAUCCAUGGAAAGCAUCUUGAGGAUAGGAUUGAUCCCAGUCUCUGGCAAAGAAGUUUCUGGUUUUAUAUGUUUUGGGGAAGUUGUUCUCACGACCAACUAUUUUUCCCAUUACAACAAAGAGGCACCAUCCAGCCUGUCACACCAUGAUGUAGUUCAUUUCAGGUGACUGGUCUCAGUCCAGGAUUCCUGAACACCGUGCCUGCUGCUGGGGGUGGUUCACCAGUCAGUUUGUGCCUCUGUGCCAAAUUCCCCUCCAGUUCUUUUCCAACCAAAAGCUUGAAACCCCGGUGGGCCUGACUCAGCAACGCGUGUUUCUGUGGGAGAUAAUCUGAGCUAUGACAGGCUUUUGGGAAUAAGCUUCUGUCCCAGAUAAGGAAGGAGGUGGGUUGCAAUGGGGAGAGGCCUCCAAGCAGAGAUUUCCUUGCUAAAUAAUGUUGCAUUUUUAAAACACUUUCAGAUGAUUAGAUCUAAUGGCUUUCUUUUUUCUUCAGGACACAUUUCAAAGAGACAUGUUUACCAGAGAGAUGUCACUUGAUUGAUGGUAUGCAGACAGCCAGUUCUGAACAGUAUUUCAUCACUUUUGUUCACUGCCAGACAGAUGAGAGAAUUGGGAAAGAAGUUAGGGAAAAGAAGACAAAGACUGAUAUGAUGCUCAAAUGACAAGUGAAUGGAUGCAAUAUAGAACAGAGACCAGGAAGCUGCUGUUCUCCUUGAUUCAUAUCUCCAAGGGCAUGGUGAAGUUCAGUGCAACCCUGAAAAUAACAACUGUGGAAGAGAGAGAGACUUUUGUGCAACAUCUGUCAACAAACAUUUCUACCACAGGACCAUUCAUGGCCAGGAAUCAUCACCUGUUUUCAAGUAAAUUCAAUAAGCUCUGAAAGAUUGCUCCUUCAUCCUAGUGGACCAGUGCACCCUACCCUAGGUUUAGUCAAAGUAGCUAUCCAAGGUGCUGAACCUCUUUUGCGGAUAGGUUUCAGCACCCUUAAUAGCUUCCUUUGUCCUGAACAUGAGUCAACGCGUUCCCAAGGACGAGAGUGUGUCAUUAUUGACUCCUACUGGAGAUCAGGGCUGCACAUUGCCUCAACCUCCAUCUUCUUGGUCCCAGAGAGAGCUUCCUAGCAGACCACCUUUUCCUCCUUCUUGCCUGAUUUGUCCCAGAGUUGCUCCUUUGGAAAUAUUGUGCCUAACAACACCCACAGUAGUGGGAUAAAUUCAUGAGAUUUUCAGGGAAGAAUGAACACUACACAGGAAGAAGUAUUGCUGCAACCAUAAUUUGGAGGAGGAUGUAAGUACAGCAAAUCUUUCUAUUGAUUUUUCAUGUAAUCACUUUUUAAAGACCAGACGUUCUUUCUGCUCCUUUGAGGAAGGAGUUUGCAUAUUACUGCAAGUUCAAUCUACAUUUGCCAAGUGAAAUAGGUAGAGGUAGUCUCAACAUGGAAAGCAUGAAACCAUACAGUGGUUAAAAAUGUUGAAUUUAUCAGGAAAAAAGAUUGGUGGCAACCCAAACUAAAUUCUACAAAUAUAGAUGAAUACAUACGGGAUUCAAAUGCAGCUUUUGAGAGCUGAAUACUUAGCUCUGUUUGAGCUAUGGGUGAAUCAACCAGUUUUACUCCCCCCCCCUUCUCCGCAUGAUUUUUAUUGUUUGAUAUGUUCUUAUUAUAAAAUGAGUAGAAUGAAAUUUUCAUCUAUCUCCAGAAGAAUGAAUGAUUUCCAUGGGACAGAGAAACAAUGAACAUUUGAGAACUGAGAUCAAUUCAGAAUAUAUUUGAAGCUGAGUAUCAAAAAAUGGCUUUUCUAGUAAAUCAUCAAUAUCAGAGUUGAGAGCCAGUAUGAUCAGUAGUGACAUAGUGUUGGACUAGUCACUUCAUUGGACUAGGACUCUGAGAGACCAACGUCCAAUCCCCGAUUGGCCUGGAAACCCACUGGAAACGUCAUAUUUUCUUGGCCUCAGAAGAAGGCAAGAACAACUGUUGGCAAGCAAACUCCAUGAUAAGUUCACCUUAGCAUCAUAAUAAACUGGACAUUAAUUAAAGUCACACAAUACUAAAUCAGAAUUUUGGAAGACCUGGUAUCUAUUGUCCUUAGCCGGGGUUCAACCCCCCCCCCCAAUUUUUCAGGUUUUAAAAAAACCUGGUUUACUCAUGAAUUUUAACUGAUUAACCACAUCCCCAUGACUGUCCACUGAAGUUUAUCUGUCUUGAGCAGGAGUCCUCAAACCUUUUAAGUGGAGGACCAGUUUAUGGUUCUUCAGACUGUUGGGGGGCCAGACUAUGAUGAAAUAGUCCAAAAUUAGGAUUGUUAUUGUGUGCCUUCACGUUGUUUCAGACUUAGGUCAACCCUAUGUCUAAAGUUUAGGACAGGGGCCAGGUAAAUGACCUUGAGGGCUGCAUCCAUGCCUUAGUUUGAGGACCCUUAAGUUUAUUGAUGGAGCCUGAUUUCUAAAUUAUUUUGCGUUAUGGAACUCUUCAUGAUUAGCUAAAAAAAGUCCCACCCUGAUUUUUUUUUCUGGCUGUGGCUCUGUCCUUAGCUAUAUGGUAAAGUUCUGCUUUAUAUGCAAAACCUCUCACUUUAGUUCCCUAGUCUCCUCAUUUGAAAGUCUUAUAUAUGUAUGAGUAGUAUGAUAUGCCAGACGUCUGCUUACAUUUGAUCUUGGAUCUUAAAGAUGUAACCCAGAACAAAAAAAAAUCUACCAGGGUUUCAAAGACCUCUGGCUGAGGUUUGGGAGAACCACCGCUUGGCAGAAUGUUAUUCAAACUUUUUCUCUAUAACAUUCACAGCCUACUCAGCCACUAGAAAGGGUCUUAGACCAGCUAAGAUAUCAAUAAGAACAAGAGGUAAGUGUCUUUUCUUUCAGACUUCUGUCACAAAAAAUAACACAAAAAGAAAAAAAGGAUGAGGUGGGAAAAGAGAGAAUAAAUCCAGUUCUAGAUUAGGAAUUGGCAAUUUUAGCCUGAUUUUAAACCCCCUGUGAACAGAUCUGUUUAGGUCUCUGGCAGGAAUCAUUUGUCUCUCUGUUGCAUUUAUAAGGGAGAAGAAGGAAGAGAGAAGGAAGUUUCUAAAAAAGAAAAGAUAAGAAAGAAAGGACAAGAUGGAACAAGACAAGAAAAGGGGUUGAAGAAAGAGGAAGAAAAAUGGGCUCUGCCCCUAUGCUCCCACUGGCUUCAGCCCUUGCUACCACUUGUAAUGCCUAGGUAAAUAAACUUCUUGGAAUAAAAAGUUUGCUCAUCCUCAACUUAGAUGGACCAAUAGUAUUACACAUUAUCAAUCAGAUGUUUGCAGGAUUGUCUCUAUGUGUCUCAACUGCCCCUCCCUAUUGUUAGGAUUUUCUAUUAUGUUGAUGUUUUAUUGUUGAAAUAUUCGCUUCACUGUUUUAUUGUUGUAUAUGUCGGGCUUUGUCCCCAUGUAAGCCGCUCCGAGUCCCUCCGGGGAGAUGGGGCGGGGUAUAAAAAUAAAGUUAUUAUUAUUAUUAUUAUAAAA